CGGCGACCGGGUCGGUGUUGGCCAUCGCGUGGACGGCGGUGUAGCCGCCCAUCGCGGCGGCCUUCGUGCCGGACUCGACGGUCUCGGC
rnacentral:tRNA from 1 species